rnacentral:lncRNA from 1 species
UCAAACUUUUUUUUUUUACAAAUAAUCCUAUUAAAUUUAUAAUUACAAAUUUGGCCCUAUCCCCACCACGCAGGUGCCAUAUCAGCACCACGCAAGCAGAAGGGUUUUAAGUUGAACACGAUGAAUGAAUGGUUCACCGUAUUCAAAUAAGGUGAAUGGUUCACAGUAUUUAACUUAACAAACUGGCCACAGCCCGCUCACGUGGCGCUGACGUAGCAUCUGCGUGACAGGACUAGGGUCAUUUUUGUAAAUAUAAAUUUGCUGGGGUUAUUUUUUAAAUAUAUUAUUUUCAAGGGGACAAAUGCAAAAAAAAACUCUAUCAAAUAUUUUAAUUUUUUUAAAAAAUAUAGCUCAAUAGAUAGUAGGUAAAAAUAUAUAGGCUAUUCUGAAUUUGGAGCAAUGCUAUAAAUACACCUUAAAAUAGGAUGUACAUCUUACAUCAACUUCAUCCUAAAAUCAUUUUGGUCACAUCAAUUUUUAAAAAUUUUACUAAAAUCCAAUUCGAUUUUAUCAACCUUAGGAUUACGAGUGUAAGAUGCACAUCCUUUUUCGGAGUGUAUAAGAAGUAUUUUUUCUGAAUUUUAACUCGUUUCGAAAU